UUAAGCAUAUCAAUAAGCGGAGGAAAAGAAACUAACAAGGAUUCCCCUAGUAACUGCGAGUGAAGCGGGAAGAGCUCAAAUUUGAAAUCUGGCAGCUCUUUGAACUGUCCGAGUUGUAAUCUAGAGAAGUGUUACCUGUGCUGGACCGUGUACAAGUCUCCUGGGAUGGAGCGUCGUAGAGGGUGAGAAUCCCGUCUUUGACAUGGACUACCUGCACGUUAUGGUGCGCUCUCAAAGAGUCGAGUUGUUUGGGAAUGCAGCUCAAAAUGGGUGGUAAAUGCCAUCUAAAGCUAAAUAUUGGCGAGAGACCGAUAGCGAACAAGUACCGUGAGGGAAAGAUGAAAAGUACUUUGGAAAGAGAGUUAAACAGUACGUGAAAUUGCUGAAAGGGAAACGCUUGAAGUCAGUCGCGUCGGCUAGAAAUCAACCUUGCUUUUGCUUGGUGUACUUUCUUGUUGAUGGGUCAGCAUCAAUUUUGACCGUUGGAUAAAGUCUUUGGGAAUGUGGCAUCUUAGGAUGUGUUAUAGCCCAUUGUCGCAUACGGCGGUUGGGAUUGAGGAACUCAGCACGCCCGCAAGGGACGGGUUUCGACCACGUUCGUGCUUAGGAUGCUGGCAUAAUGGCUUUAAUCGACCCGU
rnacentral:rRNA from 1 species